rnacentral:rRNA from 1 species
AGAGUUUGAUCAUGGCUCAGAAUCAACGCUGGCGGCGCGCUUAACACAUGCAAGUCGCACGAGAAAGUGGAGCAAUCCAUGAGUACAGUGGCGUACGGGUGAGUAACACGUGGAUCAUCUACCUCUUAGUGGGGAAUAACCCUGGGAAACCGGGGCUAAUACCGCAUAAUCUCGAGAGAGGAAAGCAGCAAUGCGCCGAGAGAGGAGUCCGCGGCCGAUUAGCUAGUUGGCAGGGUAAAAGCCUACCAAGGCAAAGAUCGGUAGCCGGCCUGAGAGGGCACACGGCCACACUGGCACUGAAACACGGGCCAGACUCCUACGGGAGGCAGCAGUGGGGAAUCUUGCACAAUGGGGGAAACCCUGAUGCAGCGACGCCGCGUGAGCGAUGAAGCCCUUCGGGGUGUAAAGCUCUUUCGGCAGGGACGAUCAUGACGGUACCUGCAGAAGCAGCUGCGGCUAACUACGUGCCAGCAGCCGCGGUAAUACGUAGGCAGCGAGCGUUGUUCGGAGUUACUGGGCGUAAAGGGUGUGUAGGCGGUUGCUUAAGUUUGGUGUGAAAUCUCCCGGCUCAACUGGGAGGGUGCGCCGAAUACUGAGUGACUCGAGUGCGGGAGAGGAGAGUGGAAUUCCUGGUGUAGCGGUGAAAUGCGUAGAUAUCAGGAGGAACACCGGCGGUGUAGACGGCUCUCUGGACCGUAACUGACGCUGAGACACGAAAGCGUGGGUAGCAAACAGGAUUAGAUACCCUAGUAGUCC